rnacentral:rRNA from 1 species
UGAACGCUGGCGGCGUGCCUAAUACAUGCAAGUCGAGCGAACGGACGAGAAGCUUGCUUCUCUGAUGUUAGCGGCGGACGGGUGAGUAACACGUGGAUAACCUACCUAUAAGACUGGGAUAACUUCGGGAAACCGGAGCUAAUACCGGAUAAUAUUUUGAACCGCAUGGUUCAAAAGUGAAAGACGGUCUUGCUGUCACUUAUAGAUGGAUCCGCGCUGCAUUAGCUAGUUGGUAAGGUAACGGCUUACCAAGGCAACGAUGCAUAGCCGACCUGAGAGGGUGAUCGGCCACACUGGAACUGAGACACGGUCCAGACUCCUACGGGAGGCAGCAGUAGGGAAUCUUCCGCAAUGGGCGAAAGCCUGACGGAGCAACGCCGCGUGAGUGAUGAAGGUCCUCGGAUCGUAAAACUCUGUUAUUAGGGAAGAACAUAUGUGUAAGUAACUGUGCACAUCUUGACGGUACCUAAUCAGAAAGCCACGGCUAACUACGUG